rnacentral:rRNA from 1 species
UACGUAGGGUGCAAGCGUUUGUCCGGAAUUAUUGGGCGUAAAGAGCGCGCAGGCGGUAACUCAAGUCAGAUGUGAAAUAUCCGGGCUUAACCCGGAGGGGUCAUUUGAAACUGAGUAACUAGAGUACAGCAGAGGAUAGCGGAAUUCCCGGUGUAGUGGUGAAAUGCGUAGAUAUCGGGAGGAACACCAGUGGCGAAGGCGGCUAUCUGGGCUGAAACUGACGCUGAGGCGCGAAGGCUGGGGGAGCGAACGGG